rfam:Thermoplasmatales archaeon I-plasma AMDT3_IPLC00001, whole genome shotgun sequence.
GCCGGGAUGGGGUAGCGGUGCAUCCUUGGGGACUGUGGAUCCCCGGACCCGGGUUCAAAUCCCGGUCCCGGCC